CCAUGGGAGUGGGUUGCACCAGAAGUAGCUAGUCUAACCUUCGGGAGGACGGUUACCACGGUGUGAUNCAUGACUGGGGUGAAGUCGUAACAAGGUAGCCGUAGGGGAACCUGCGGCUGGAUCACCUCCUUAAUCGACGACA
rnacentral:rRNA from 1 species